GAUGAACGCUGGCGGCGUGCCUAAUACAUGCAAGUCGAGCGAACGGACGAGAAGCUUGCUUCUCUGAUGUUAGCGGCGGACGGGUGAGUAACACGUGGAUAACCUACCUAUAAGACUGGGAUAACUUCGGGAAACCGGAGCUAAUACCGGAUAAUAUUUUGAACCGCAUGGUUCAAAAGUGAAAGACGGUCUUGCUGUCACUUAUAGAUGGGUCCGCGCUGCAUUAGCUAGUUGGUAAGGUAACGGCUUACCAAGGCAACGAUGCAUAGCCGACCUGAGAGGGUGGGCGGCAGCACUGGAAUAGCGACACGGUCCGGAAUACGACGGGAGGCAGCAGUAGGGAAGUUUGCAGAAUGGGCGAAAGCCUGACGUAGCAACGCCGAGUGAGUAAUGAAGGUCUUCGGAUCGGAAAACUCUGUUAUUAGGGAAAAACAUAUGUCUAAGUAACUGUGCACAUCUUGACGGUACCUAAUCAGAAAGCCACGGCUAACUACAUC
rnacentral:rRNA from 1 species